rnacentral:rRNA from 1 species
UACGGAGGGGGCAAGCGUUGUUCGGAGUUACUGGGCGUAAAGCGCGCGUAGGCGGUGCGGUAAGUCAGGGGUUAAAGGCUGCAGCUCAACUGCAGUAAGGCCUUUGAUACUAUCGUGCUAGAGUGUCAGAGAGGAUGGCGGAAUUCCCGGUGUAGCGGUGAAAUGCGCAGAUAUCGGGAGGAACACCAGUGGCGAAGGCGGCCUUCUGGCCCGUUCCUGACGCUCAGGUGCGAAAGCCAGGGGAGCAAACAGG